CCUACGGGAGGCAGCAGUGGGGAAUAUUGCACAAUGGGGGAAACCCUGAUGCAGCGACGCCGCGUGAGUGAAGACGUACUUCUUUAUGUAAAACUCUAUCAGCAGGGAAGAAAAAGACGGUCCCUAGGUAAAACUCCCCGGUUAACUACGUGCCAGCAGCCGCGGUAUUACGUAGGGGGCAAGCGUUAUCCGGAUUUAUUGGGUGUAAAGGGAGGGUAGACGGCGAAGAAAGUCUGAAGGGAAAGCCCGCGGCUUAACCGCGGAACUGCUUUGGAAACUUUUUUGCUGGAGUACCGGAGAGGUAAGCGGAAUUCCUAGUGUAGCGGUGAAAUGCGUAGAUAUUAGGAGGAACACCAGUGGCGAAGGCGGCUUACUGGACGGUAACUGACGUUGAGGCUCGAAAGCGUGGGGAGCAAACAGGAUUAGAUACCCCUGUAGUC
rnacentral:rRNA from 1 species